rnacentral:lncRNA from 1 species
UUUCUUCUAUUCUUUUUUCUAUACAUUGGUGUUCUAACCAAUAAUCACCGAUGCGAUAUUAUCUCCGAUCGAUUCGGGAACCAACUAACGAAUGCAAAGGUGCUGUCUAAACAAGACUAUACUUUGUGAAUUUCGUUAAGGUUCUGAAACGAAUUCCAAAGUGUUGUCUAAAUAAGACUAUACUUUGUGAAUUUCGUUAAGGUUCUGAUCUCGUGACCAUCGUUAGGUUUGAUUGGGUUUAACACUAAUACGUAUUCCACUCUGUUAAACUAAAUGUUUAACUACCAGAAACUCUGCACUAUACACUUACAAUCAAAAUAGAAGCUUAGUUAUCAGAAGACUUAGAAUCAGGAGGCAUGUUGAAUCAAGACUAUAUGCUAACAAGGUAAUUACGGUAGAUGGGAAUAAGAGUGAUGAUACGGCACCGAAAGGCUUAAAGAAGUUGCUUAUUUUAUCAACUGAAUUAAAUUAAGAAAACAUGGUUUCAUAAAUUCGGGUUUAUCCCUUAUUAAAGCUACGUCUGUAAAAAAUGAGUUUUAUCCCAUCUAUUUAAUAAAUAAAAUCCGGUGUUUUCUAAACUCUGAUAUUUUUCCUAACUCACGGUCCUGACGAAUAUUUCCGCUGCAAUGUUUUUAAAAAUAAUCACCGGUACCACUUGACUACUCGCGGCUCCCGUCCAGGGUGGGGUCGGGGGUCGUGACAGUUAUUGUAUGAUUAUUAUUAGUUUUGAUGAUGAACGACGAUUAGGGUUGUAUGAACACUCUAAAGUAACUGUGGUUUGAUCCACUGUUCAUGCUGAAAAUGUGUUAACUGUUGUUAAGUGAUUAAGGAAUUGUAACUGUCUGUGGUGCGACGAAGACCUCCCCCGACGAAGAACUUAGUCAGACGAAGAACUGAUUUUUCGUUGACUACUCCCCGAUGAACAUUUAAGGUUCUUCGUCACGUCCCUUCUCGACGAAGAAUGGAUCUUCGCCAUUGGGACUCUUCGCCGUAGUCAACCUCGACGAAGAAUGAAUCUUCGCCGAUGGGAUUCUUCGUCGUUGGGCACUUGUGUUGUAGAAUUCUGUUUGUUGCAUGAUAAUGAAGUAAACUAGAAAUGAGGACCUUGACUUGACUAGUGUGAGUAGCCAAUUCAUCUGUUAAAUGUUAUAAUGAGACUUGCACGUGGAAUGUGGGCUUACAUGAGAACUAAGUAAAUGCUAUGCGAUAUACGGUGAUUUUGUGAUGAAUGUAAACUGUGUAAAAUACGUGACUUGAUUGAUUAUGAAACUGAUUUCAUUGGUAACCACGGUAGGGUUGGUAGACAAACGGAACGGGUAACUUGUUAUACCGAGCAAAUCUAAGGUGAGCUCACUUCUCUUGAGCAUGCGUCACGGUGGGUGGGACAAUCAAUUGGGUAUUCCUAAGAGGAAAAUGUCUGUUUGGGUAAAACUGGGAUGUUGGAUAAUACACUCAUUUCCUAUCACCUUAAGUUCCAUCUUCUACCGAAUGGUUACCUGAGAGGUAACAGGGUAUUACUUGAUAGCGCUAUUAGGCUUGGCAACCUCACACCAUACCUGAGAGGACGGGCGUGAACUAAUGACCUUAAUCAUGACUAAUGCUUAGAUAGGGGGCAUUGGGGACGGGCAAAACAAUCUGGAAGCCAUCUUGUACGGUCGUUAGGUACUAUGGACAAGGACUUGCUAUCUGGGAUUGCUGGAGUGGUCAUGGGUCGCACUGCUUGGAUAUGCACAACUUGCUUACUGAUUUUACAUACAAUUGGUUUUGAAACAUCUAAACAAUGAUUUACUACUUGCUUCCACUGAACAUGUUAAACUUGGAUUAUGUUUAUGAACAUUUUAUCAUUAUAAAUGGAAACUUUGU